AUAAGUUCGACGACCUCCCUAUCUCAUGCUUGUGCUGUUUCCAGACUGAAAUAAAUCGAUCCGCCGUAUAUACUGGUUCUCCCGCUCAUUUUCUUUUCAAUCCGCUUUUUCAUCCGGCCACUGACAUUUCUCGUUUGGCGCCCGAGCAGUUGCUAAAGAUAGUACAUUGUCUCACGAGACGUGCUCUAGAACUCGUGGCCCAUUCGGGGGUGCAUCGCACCCUCUUCUCCUAGGAGUUUAUUCUCGAUAACCUCUAAUGCAGUAGAGAAGGAUGGAACGAGACAAUGAACGUGGAUGAAGGAAACGGACCUACUAGAAGAAAGAAGUUAGAUACGGAAGACAAUGGGGGAUAAAAGAGAGCGUUCGAGGAGUGAUAAGGGGUCAGACCAGUUUCGGAACUUUAAUAAUAAUAAUAGAAAGUCGAUAAAAUUAUAUUUCUCAGUAAAGCUCCUCACGUCACUAUCGGUUCAGUAGCUACACAGAUUCUAUGUCAGCCAUUGCAUGCAAAGCAAAGACGACUUUCAAAUCUGCACGGUAUCCAGGAAUCUCGUUGAUUGAUUGUUCUGACGUUAAAUCAGGGGAUGGAACGACGUCGAGCGUCGGGUCACGUUCUACGUGCCACACAGUCACUUUGUCAAACGUUAUUAUCGUGCAUAUUUUCAGACGUUAUCUAUUUGUGGGUAAAGUAAUACAUGGAUAAUAUUUAUUUUUCAAUCUUUUUUUUUCUCAUCAUUCUCAUACGAUGCGUCAUGGACUCUGUCACCAUUAGUCGGAUGGCUACCUGGAAUAAUUUCCUGAUUCGUUCUUUCUAAUCGUGGAAAUCCUUAUCAUACGUAAAUGACAGUUCAUCGAUUUUUGUAGGAACGUGUGGGUGAACAAGAUGACUGAACAAAAUAGCUAGAAAGGCUAAUAGAAAAUAAUCGCAAGUUUUCAAGCGUUAAAAAAAAGAAUUUUAUUCGAUUAAUUCUUCGUCAGUGACUAUUAUCGCUUCUGAUAAGAGACGACUGUGUUAUUAUAUUAAUUCAGAUAAUCAGGAAGCAAUCAGAUAUUAUGAAUCUCUUCCUACUUCAUAAAAGUCUUAUGAACAUUCUUAGGACGUCUCAGGGA